UACGUAGGGUCCGAGCGUUGUCCGGAAUUACUGGGCGUAAAGAGCUCGUAGGUGGUUUGUCGCGUUGUUCGUGAAAACUCACAGCUCAACUGUGGGCGUGCGGGCGAUACGGGCAGACUGGAGUACUGCAGGGGAGACUGGAAUUCCUGGUGUAGCGGUGGAAUGCGCAGAUAUCAGGAGGAACACUGGUGGCGAAGGCGGGUCUCUGGGCAGUAACUGACGCUGAGGAGCGAAAGCGUGGGGAGCGAACAGG
rnacentral:rRNA from 1 species